AUGGCACCGGCGCUCGCCGCACCGGGAAUCUCCCCGGCGGCCGACUGCAGAUCCAACCAAGCCGCCGGCGACCCGUCCUCCGUAGCCAAGCCGAUCGACGGAGGGUUGUCGGGGUCGGAUCUAUCGUGGCGUCCAGCCAUCCAGGAUAUCGCGCGAGUCCCAGACGAAACUCCAUUCUCCAAUGCGCACAUAGGGCUAGUAACGCCUCCGGCCGCACUGAAGGGCGCGAAUGCAAUCGCCUACAGCUCAGAUUUUAAUCCAUAUGUACGUGAUGAUGAUUCUGGGAAUGUUAUAGUUGUGCCUGGAUGGAAGAAACGGAAUGUCGGGGCUAAUGGCCCUGACACGAGGACACCUCCGUCCACAAAGACGGCCAUUGAGCGACGUCUGCUCGAAAUGAAUGAUCGUAGAGGUAGUGAAAUAUUCGAGCCAGUGGUCGGAACCGACUUCGACUCAUGUCAAGAAGCAUAUGGUUUCUACAAUUUGUAUUCGUGGGAGCAUGGAUUCGGCAUUCGGCGUGGCAGAAGCAGAGUUAACACAAACAAGUACAAGUUGAUGCAUGAACUUGUUUGUCAAUGUGCGGGCAAAAAUGACAAAGAAAACUCGUCAUCAUGCAAGAUCGAUUGUAAGGCCAUGGUGAGAUUGCUGCGUACCAAGAAUCAUGGAUGGUACGUCAGUAUGUUUGUCAAGGAGCACAACCAUCGUUUGUCGGUUGGAUACGAUGCAAAACUCCAGUGGAAUUCACACGAUUUCAUAGACCCUGUUUCAUUUGACUUCAUCAAGAAUCUUCGAAGCAAUAAUGUCAGUGUUGGCAAGGUUUAUAGCAUUUUGUGUGGAGCAGAAUGGAAUUCGCAAGCAGUGCCCUAUAGGAAGCAAGUAUUACGAACACUAUGUGCCAAAUUCUCUCAGGACACAAUAAAAGAUGAUCUGAAAAAAACCAUGAAACUUCUGCAAGAUAUGAAGAUGGAGGACAUGAAUUUGAAGGUUGAGAUAGGCGUAGAUGUAGAAUGUCGUGUCCGUACAAUGCUAUGGGUGACAGGAAAAAAUCGUCAGGACUAUUUUCACUUUGGUGACGUCAUUACCUUCGACACAACAUACAAGACCAAUUUGUAUAACAUGCCGUUUGCCUUGUUUGUCGGGGUAAACAACCACUUCCAGUCUGUUAUAUUCGGUGGUGCACUAAUGCGAGAGGAAACUGAAGCUGCUUUUAAUUGGCUGUUUAAAACUUCAGCUAUGAAAGGUGCGAUUGAGAUUGCUCUCCCGAACACUAAACACAGAUGGUGUAAAUGGCAUGUCCUCCGGGACGUUAAAGGAAAUAUUGGCCAUGUGUACAACAAGUCUUCUGGGUUCAAGAAGGAAUUCAACAAGCUAGUCAACGAUGUGAUGUGUGUCGAUGAGUUCGAAUCCAAAUGGUUGUCCCUUGUGGACAGAUUCAGUGUCAGUGAUAAUGAGUAUAUGGUCAGACUAUAUGAUAAGAGGGCCAUGUGGGCAAAGCCGUAUUUCAAGGGAAUUUUUUGUGCUGGAAUGACAAGCACACAGCGUAGCGAGAGUGCUAAUCAUAUGCUGAAAGAGGAACAUACCGAGGUCAUCCCCCAUGCACGUGUUUGUUCGCCAAUACAACAAAUUCCUCAGGUCAAGGAUGAGCGAUGA
rnacentral:rRNA from 1 species